rnacentral:rRNA from 1 species
CCUACGGGAGGCAGCAGUGGGGAAUAUUGGGCAAUGGGCGCAAGCCUGACCCAGCAACGCAGCGUGAAGGAAGAAGGCUUUCGGGUUGUAAACUUCUUUUCUCAGGGACGAAGCAAGUGACGGUACCUGAGGAAUAAGCCACGGCUAACUACGUGCCAGCAGCCGCGGUAAUCCGUCGGUGGCAAGCGUUAUCCGGAUUUACUGGGUGUAAAGGGCGUGUAGGCGGGAAAGCAAGUCAGAUGUGAAAACCAUGGGCUCAACCUGUGGCCUGCAUUUGAAACGGUUUUUCUUGAGUACUGGAGAGGCAGACGGAAUUCCUGGGGUAGCGGUGAAAUGCGUAGAUAUUAGGAGGAACACCAGUGGCGAAGGCGGUCUGCUGGACAGCAACUGACGCUGAGGCGCGAAAGCGUGGGGAGCAAACAGGAUUAGAUACCCCUGUAGUC